UACGUAGGGGGCAAGCGUUGUCCGGAUUUAUUGGGCGUAAAGAGCGUGUAGGCGGCCAAGCAGGUCCGCUGUGAAAACUCGAGGCUCAACCUCGAGACGUCGGUGGAAACCGUUUGGCUAGAGUCCGGAAGAGGAGAGUGGAAUUCCCGGUGUAGCGGUGAAAUGCGCAGAUAUCGGGAAGAACACCCGUGGCGAAGGCGGCUCUCUGGGACGGUACUGACGCUGAGGCGCGGACAGCGUGGGGAGCAAACAGG
rnacentral:rRNA from 1 species